UUGAACGCUGGCGGCAGGCCUAACACAUGCAAGUCGAGCGGUAGCACAGAGAGCUUGCUCUCGGGUGACGAGCGGCGGACGGGUGAGUAAUGUCUGGGAAACUGCCUGAUGGAGGGGGAUAACUACUGGAAACGGUAGCUAAUACCGCAUAAUGUCGCAAGACCAAAGUGGGGGACCUUCGGGCCUCAUGCCAUCAGAUGUGCCCAGAUGGGAUUAGCUAGUAGGUGGGGUAACGGCUCACCUAGGCGACGAUCCCUAGCUGGUCUGAGAGGAUGACCAGCCACACUGGAACUGAGACACGGUCCAGACUCCUACGGGAGGCAGCAGUGGGGAAUAUUGCACAAUGGGCGCAAGCCUGAUGCAGCCAUGCCGCGUGUGUGAAGAAGGCCUUCGGGUUGUAAAGCACUUUCAGCGGGGAGGAAGGCGUUAAGGUUAAUAACCUUGGCGAUUGACGUUACCCGCAGAAGAAGCACCGGCUAACUCCGUGCCAGCAGCCGCGGUAAUACGGAGGGUGCAAGCGUUAAUCGGAAUUACUGGGCGUAAAGCGCACGCAGGCGGUCUGUCAAGUCGGAUGUGAAAUCCCCGGGCUCAACCUGGGAACUGCAUUCGAAACUGGCAGGCUAGAGUCUUGUAGAGGGGGGUAGAAUUCCAGGUGUAGCGGUGAAAUGCGUAGAGAUCUGGAGGAAUACCGGUGGCGAAGGCGGCCCCCUGGACAAAGACUGACGCUCAGGUGCGAAAGCGUGGGGAGCAAACAGGAUUAGAUACCCUGGUAGUCCACGCCGUAAACGAUGUCGAUUUGGAGGUUGUGCCCUUGAGGCGUGGCUUCCGGAGCUAACGCGUUAAAUCGACCGCCUGGGGAGUACGGCCGCAAGGUUAAAACUCAAAUGAAUUGACGGGGGCCCGCACAAGCGGUGGAGCAUGUGGUUUAAUUCGAUGCAACGCGAAGAACCUUACCUGGUCUUGACAUCCACAGAACUUUCCAGAGAUGGAUUGGUGCCUUCGGGAACUGUGAGACAGGUGCUGCAUGGCUGUCGUCAGCUCGUGUUGUGAAAUGUUGGGUUGAGUCCCGCAACGAGCGCAACCCUUAUCCUUUGUUGCCAGCGGUCCGGCCGGGAACUCAAAGGAGACUGCCAGUGAUAAACUGGAGGAAGGUGGGGAUGACGUCAAGUCAUCAUGGCCCUUACGACCAGGGCUACACACGUGCUACAAUGGCAUAUACAAAGAGAAGCGACCUCGCGAGAGCAAGCGGACCUCAUAAAGUAUGUCGUAGUCCGGAUUGGAGUCUGCAACUCGACUCCAUGAAGUCGGAAUCGCUAGUAAUCGUAGAUCAGAAUGCUACGGUGAAUACGUUCCCGGGCCUUGUACACACCGCCCGUCACACCAUGGGAGUGGGUUGCAAAAGAAGUAGGUAGCUUAACCUUCGGGAGGGCGCUUACCACUUUGUGAUUCAUGACUGGGGUG
rnacentral:rRNA from 1 species